rnacentral:snoRNA from 1 species
AACCUAUGGUUUGGGGACUGGUUAGUGUAACUCCUGAAUCUCUCCCAUGCUUCACCAAAACUCUCAUUGCUAUGUUGAGUGAAGCUGGAGAUUUGGUUUCUCAGUUU